UACGUAGGGUGCGAGCGUUGUUCGGAAUUACUGGGCGUAAAGGGCGCGUAGGCGGUUCGUCAAGUCCUGUGUGAAAUCCCCCGGCUCAACUGGGGAACUGCACAGGAAACUAGCGGGCUUGAGUUCGGGAGAGGGAAGCGGAAUUCCGGGUGUAGCGGUGAAAUGCGUAGAUAUCCGGAGGAACACCGGUGGCGAAGGCGGUCUACUGGGACGUCAUGACGCUG
rnacentral:rRNA from 1 species